AUUGAACGCUGGCGGCAGGCCUAACACAUGCAAGUCGAACGGUAACAGGAAGCAGCUUGCUGCUUUGCUGACGAGUGGCGGACGGGUGAGUAAUGUCUGGGAAACUGCCUGAUGGAGGGGGAUAACUACUGGAAACGGUAGCUAAUACCGCAUAACGUCGCAAGACCAAAGAGGGGGACCUUCGGGCCUCUUGCCAUCGGAUGUGCCCAGAUGGGAUUAGCUAGUAGGUGGGGUAACGGCUCACCUAGGCGACGAUCCCUAGCUGGUCUGAGAGGAUGACCGGCCACACUGGAACUGAGACACGGUCAAGACUCCUACGGGAGGCAGCAGUGGGGAAUAUUGCACAAUGGGCGCAAGCCUGAUGCAGCCAGGCCGCGUGUAUGAAGAAGGCCUUCGGGUUGUAAAGUACUUUCAGCGGGGAGGAAGGGAGUAAAGUUAAUACCUUUGCUCAUUGACGUUACCCGCAGAAGAAGCACCGGCUAACUCCGUG
rnacentral:rRNA from 1 species